rnacentral:rRNA from 1 species
UACGUAGGGUGCGAGCGUUGUCCGGAAUUACUGGGCGUAAAGCGCGUGUAGGCGGCUUAGCAAGUCGGGCGUGAAAGCCCUCGGCUCAACCGAGGAAGUGCACCCGAAACUGCUGAGCUUGAGUGCCGGAGAGGAUGGCGGAAUUCCCCAAGUAGAGGUGAAAUUCGUAGAUAUGGGGAGGAACACCGGUGGCGAAGGCGGCCAUCUGGACGGUAACUGACGCUGAGACGCGAAAGCGUGGGGAGCAAACAGG